rnacentral:rRNA from 1 species
CCUGGCGGCCAUAGCGGCGUGGUACCACCUGAUCCCAUCCCGAACUCAGAAGUGAAACGCGCAUGCGCCGAUGGUAGUGUGGCUUUGCCAUGCGAGAGUAGGUCACCGCCAGGGGCUUUAUCCUGAAACACCCUCACCGGAAACGGUGGGGGUUUUUCUUUGCCUCCGAUGCCCGCAACGCGCGGCCUCCGCAACUCAUCGCCAGAGGUUCUAUCCUGAAAGCCCUCACCGGAAACGGUGGGGGCUUUUGCUUU